AUGAAACAAACCGGGGGCGGCGGGGCGCGGCCUCGCACCGGCGGAGACGCCGUUGUGCGGGCUCGUCCCUCCCCCUCAUCCACAACCCAACACACCUGUGCACCAUAGGGACGGCGGGUGGAUAACGCACGCCGUCUCGCUUUAACAAGCUCAAAAGUCUAUUUUGAAUGUCAUUUUAUUCGGGCUAACCCCGAUGUAACUUAAACAUAAA
rnacentral:misc_RNA from 1 species